GAUGAACGCUAGCGGGAGGCCUAACACAUGCAAGCCGAGCGGUAGAGUUUCUUCGGAAACUUGAGAGCGGCGCACGGGUGCGUAACACGUGUGCAACCUACCUUUAUCUGGGGGAUAGCCUUUCGAAAGGAAGAUCAAUACCCCAUAACAUAAUGAUUGGCAUCAAUUAUUAUUGAAAACUCCGGUGGAUAGAGAUGGGCACGCGCAAGAUUAGAUAGUUGGUGAGGUAACGGCUCACCAAGUCAAUGAUCUUUAGGGGUCCUGAGAGGGAGAUCCCCCACACUGGUACUGAGACACGGACCAGACUCCUACGGGAGGCAGCAGUGAGGAAUAUUGGACAAUGGGUGAGAGCCUGAUCCAGCCAUCCCGCGUGAAGGAUGACGGUCCUAUGGAUUGUAAACUUCUUUUGUACAGGGAUAAACCUACCCUCGUGAGGGUAGCUGAAGGUACUGUACGAAUAAGCACCGGCUAACUCCGUG
rnacentral:rRNA from 1 species